UGUCUUUUUGAAAAUAAUAUAAAGUCUAAUCUGCCCACUGAUUUAUAAUUGAAGGGCUGCAGUAUUUUGACUGUACAAAGGUAGCAUAAUCAUUAGUCAUUUAAUUGAUGACUUGUAUGAAGGAUUGGAUGAGAUAUAAACUGUCUCUUAUUUAUAUAAUAUAGAAUUUAAUUUUUUAUUUAAAAAGUUAAAAUAUAUUAAAAAGACGAGAAGACCCUAUAGAGUUUUAUAGUUAAAUUUAAUUAGGAUUAUUUGUAUUAAAAAUUAAAAUUAAUUUAAUUAUUGUAUUGGGGUGAUAAAAAAAUAUAAAAAACUUUUAUAUAUUAUUAAAACAUUGAUAAAUGAUUAGAUGAUCCAAUAUUAUUGAUUAUAAGAAAAAAUUACCUUAGGGAUAACAGCGUAAUUUUUUUUUUUAGUUCAUAUAAGAAAAAGAGUUUGCGACCUCGAUGUUGGAUUAAGAUAAAAUUUAAAUGUAGAAG
rnacentral:rRNA from 1 species